rnacentral:lncRNA from 1 species
ACCGCUGGGUGUCCAGUGGCUGCCUUCGCGAAGGCUCCGGAUUUCUGCGCGAGGCUGCAAACCCUUGGGAUUUGUUUUCAACCGUGGACUGCGUGUUUCAGCCCCUGUACCUUGUGGGAGACCCCUGGGGUCUCAGGGAGAGGUCAGACCCAGCCGCUGCAUCGCGCCCCGGGAAGGCGUGGACUGCGGGCCUGUUUCUCGAGAAAUCCAGGUGGGGCCUUAGCAGACUGUUCUUUUCUUUUAACCAGGAUCUGGGAAAUGUUCGCCCAGACUCAUGGGCUUGCGUACAAAUGUCCUUUGCAAAGUAAAUGCCACGUGCACGUCUCUUACUUUAUAUUUCAGCUUCGGGCAGUUGGGGAGGCCCUGGCAGGCAGGCAGUCUUCCUCAGUGGAUGCUGCUACUGAACUUUAAAACAGUCAAAUAACAGUAUUUUCAAAUUUCCUUUCUUCCAUCCCUCCUCUCUGAUGUGGAAAGGCCCAGACUUCCCAUAAUGGACUGGAAUGUUCUUUACACUGUUUUGUAGAAGUCGUUCUUUCCCCGGCAAAAUAAGAUGCUUGGUGAAUUGAAAUGCCAGAGUAAUCAGCAAGCUUUGGCUGUGAGCCGCUCCAGCGGGUCCUGGCCCCCAGCCCCCUCGUGUGGGCAAAACACAUCGUAGCUCCUAGACUCUGGGCCAUUAGCAGUCGGAGAAGCUGGACUCCGGAUGGCUAGACUCCAAGCCGCAAGAUGAGGGGAUGGAGAGGUGGUUUUCUGUCCCUCUUGGAGCCACUGGUGGGAGUGGGGCCUUGACUGAUGAAGCAUGCCCAGCAAGAAAAUCCCGCUCUGAAUCCCAUGGGCACCCAGCACAGGCUAGGACUGUGGGAACCAGUCUGGUUGGCCUUUAUUCAUUGCCGAUGUCUGCGGAUGCCAAGAUAAGGGGGCUAUGGAUGGCUGGGGCCAUGGGUGGCGGGGGCCAGUGAGCCUCUGGAAGGAUCUGACUUCUUUACACCUUGGUCACCUAUUGGUAAUUCAUCUUUCUUUUGUUUUCAUAGGUUCCAGCACGUGGCUAGUACAGUCAGUCUGUGCGUGAUGCUCAGCUUUAAGGAGGAGCUGUUUCACUGCUGCUCUAUAGGUAUCUCAGGGAGGCUUCUACAUACAGCCUACGGGCCAGAGCCUAUUAUCGUAGGGCCUGGGAGCUAAGCUUGUUUUUUACAUUGUUAAACAGUUGGAAAAAUUCAAACAAAGACUCCUGUUCUAGUGACACAUGAGAAUAGUAUGAAAUUCAAGUUUCAGUGUCUAUAGAUCAACCUGGGAACCUCCACAUGCCACGGGUGUGUCCCUAAAAAACCAAAAAACCCCCAAAAAACAAGAAAACAAAAAACCAACCAAACAAACAAAAAAAGAAGCAGUGGCUGGAAUGUGGCUGUCUGUACAGAACACAAAGCAAGGUGACCAGUUGCUUCCAAGACCUGACUGGGGAAGCCAGGAUCCUGCUCCGAGCUCUGGGGACACCAGCUGUCCUCUGUCCAGCAGCAGGGUCAUAACUCAGGCAGCCUUCCUGUGGCAGCAGGGAGCGGGCAGUUGUCAUGGGCGAACUUGGCGGUGGCGGGGGGGACCUUUCCGUCAGGUGUGCAGUUUUCCACCUGGCCACGUCCUCCCCUCCCUUCUGCCCUGACCAGGGGAGGGCUGCCCUGUGAUGCUGUGGGUUUUGAGCGAAGCAGAGCCUUCUGUUCAUUUCAUCUUUGGGGACUGGUGUUGGACUCUCUAUAUCAUUUUAUGAGUUUGCCGUAUUUCUAAGCUUUCUAGCAUGAAGUUUUUGCAUACUUUAAUAUGCUGCAUUUCCUCAUCCCCUGACUCAGUGGCUCGGUUCUUAGGAGCGUGUGGCUGGGAGCCACGUGGAGUGUUGUGAUCUGCGUCAUGUGUGCUUUGUCAGGCGUGCAAGGAACAGCUUUCGGGAGGAGAUGGGAGGUUUUGCUUUCAUGUGACAUCAUGGAACGGACAAGUGCUUUUUUGGCUCAUGCAGUGGGACAUGGGUUGGUGGUUAAACGAGGGCACCGUGGCUGGUCGUAACUUAACGGGCAGCCUGGCCAAAUAGUGAGCUGUUUGACACCCAGCCUGGCCUGGCCAGUCCCGUGAUGCCAGCCUGGACGGUCUUCCGGGGGUGGGGGAUGGGCUUCUCACAGCGGCCAGGGGCUGGAAGCAGGACACACCCUGACCACCUGGCCCAGCCUGGUGAGCCCAUCUUUUCUCCUGUGGAGCCAUCCUGGGCUGUUGUCCACCAGCAGGCCGGUGCCUGGAAGCCCCCGGGAGAGGCUGGCCCUGGUUCUUCUCGGGACGAGUGAUGGAGACGUUCCAUUAGAGGCCCGGCUGUGUUUCCAUGUUCCCUGCAGACUGCCUUCUGCUGGUGGAGGUGACUGGCAGGACGCAGCACUAAACGGUCCUUUGCGCCUCCAAGGGCUGGUUGCUGGAGAGCCAGACAGUGUAACCAUAGGCUCUUGAGGCCUUCGACGCCUUUGCAGCUUUGGGGAGACGCUGUAUUUGCAUUGGCUUUGCCCGCUGUAGCAGACACUCUCUGGCCUGGACCGCACGAAGUCGCAUCUUGGAUAAGUGGAGGUUUUGAGAUGGCAGAGAUCAAGCGCUUGCUUUUAAGAUGGUCCAGUGAGAUUUGCCUGGUGAAUCUGAUCGCAGGUAGGAGUCUGUUAAGUUGUUGUGCGUACAGCAUCCGUUCAACCUGGAAAUCCUUAGCUGCAGACGUCUCUGGUAAAGCCAAGACAUUUUAGAGACACUUACAGACACUGAAUUAGACCAGUAUGAUUAUUCAUCCAUUCACCUUGCUGCAGCUUCUCUGACACUGGUCAGCUCAAGGCACGGCCCAGGGAGAGCCAAGAGCAUCCUAAUGCAUAUUCCAAAACGGGAAACUCGCUCUGAAAAUCUGAAUUGAAUAAAGGUGAAAGCAGGUGGCUUUUGGGAACUGAGCCUGAAACACUGAAUCUCCGUGUGAAAAACUGAUGAGCACACCCUGCAGAAGGCUUUCUAUCGACCCCACCUGUGUGUUAUGUUGAGGAAGCGUCCACUCCCACAGGUGAGAAGUUUGUGGUCACGGCAAAGCCAUGGGCUUUAAAGGGGCCUCCUGGCAGGGUCUCUAGAGGGUUGGUGGUUCCUGCGCCUCCCUAGAUGUUUUUGGGUGAGGAGCCCCGUUAUCAGGAGGCUGUUCUGCUGCCACUGAAGUGGCAUCUUUUCUACCUUAAGUAGGUGAGAGAGGUUACCGUUUCUCAGAGGGAGUUAGGUUUUGUCUAAUUUUUAUAUUAUUUAAAAAGACACGUGGGAGUUCCCGUGUGGCACAGCUCCAUGUGCCACGGGGUGGCCAAAAAAGAAAAAAAAAGGAGAAAGAAAAAGAAAUAGGAGUUAAUAUUCACAACUACUUUUAGUGGUCUAGAGAAUUCCCUUUGUGUGUUCCUUUCAGUCCGGUUAAGGAGACGUGGUGUUUUCACGCACAGACGGAAGGCAUGUUGUUUAUAAAAUUACAUUUUUCAGCCAGAAAAUCCCAAAGCCUGUGUGUCACCUACGUCACCGUUAAAUUAGUGAGGUCUGUUUGUAGCAGUAGGAUCGUAAAAAUAUAAACCGAAUUGAGUUUGAAGGCCCCUGGGAUAUCUGAAAAUGAGUGUUAAAUGGCUAAGUGCAAUAUAAGUGGACACUGAAUUGCAGGCCAGUCCUUAACGAGGAAACACACAAUACACUCUUUUGGGGAAAGAACUAACGGGCUGCAAUUUAGAAAGAUCUGUGAUUCCCCAGCUUAGCUCCGCACCCCAACAGAUGGGAACUAGAGGCUGCUUCUGUUCCCUGAUGCUGAGUGAUGGUGGGUUUUGCUGUUACUAGAAAGUCAUUACAAAGGCAUUUCUGUACUGGUGCAGCUGCCCUGAAAGACUAGGGUUUCUGGCAGAGGAAACACCACCUUCAAAACAGGCUCGUAAGUUACUGAAUUCUGAGGCCAGGGGCUGCCCGGCCCGCCCUGCCCGCCUUGCCACUCAGGAGAACGUGCAGGGGGACACUGCUUGGGGCCUGGGCCUGGCAUGGCGGGCCUCCCCGCCCCGGGGGCUCCGGCCUGUGCGGAGGGUGUUGAAGGCCGCCGCGAGGCCCAAGACCCAGCGUUUGGGGCCUCAGCUUUUGACUCUGCCCCAUCCAUGUGGCCCAGGAAACCUUUGAGGCUCCUGUGUGGAUGGAUUGUUAGAGCCAGGGGUCUCUAAAGCCAUGGGCACCAUGCCCUGGGGGCGCAGCCUCAGGGCCUGGCAGACCCCUGUGAUGUGUUACCUGCGUGUGACAGCAGAGACUGGGGCUCGGGCAGCAGGUCCCAGCUUCUGAGCAGGGGUUCCCUCUGUGUGAUGGUCUGACUGUUGCGGGUGAGCCCAGAGCCUCUGGGUGUUGAAGUCACUGGUGCCUGCGGUGUCACUAAACACCCAGGUCAUUCCUCCAGGGUUGAAAAUGCAGCCUAGGGAGUUCCCUUCGUGGCGCAGUGAUUAACGAAUCCGACUAGGAACCAUGAGGUUGCGGGUUCGGUCCCUGCCCUUGCUCAGUGGGUUGACAAUCCGGCGUUGCCGUGAGCUGUGGUGUAGGUCGCAGACGCGGCUCGGAUCCCAUGUUGCUGUGGCUCUGGCGUAGGCCGGUGGGUACAGCUCCGAUUGGACCCCUAGCCUGGGAACCUCCAUAUGCCACGGGAGCGGGCCAAGAAAUAG